rnacentral:miRNA from 1 species
GCUGGCUUACCGUCUAGUGCAU